GCCCGCAGCUGUAACAGCUGCAGUUCAGCCCAGGUAAUCCACCUAAAACUAAGCAGGUCUGGGCCUGGUCAGCAUUUGGAUGGGAGACCAACUAGGAAAGCUGGGUUGCUGCUGGAA
rnacentral:rRNA from 1 species